GGAACUGCCCGAUGGAGGGGGAUAACUACUGGAAACGGUAGCUAAUACCGCAUAACGUCGCAAGACCAAAGAGGGGGACCUUCGGGCCUCUUGCCAUCGGAUGUGCCCAGAUGGGAUUAGCUAGUAGGUGGGGUAACGGCUCACCUAGGCGACGAUCCCUAGCUGGUCUGAGAGGAUGACCAGCCACACUGGAACUGAGACACGGUCCAG
rnacentral:rRNA from 1 species